rnacentral:misc_RNA from 1 species
UUUCCGUAGGUGAACCUGCGGAAGGAUCAUUAUCGUAAAAAAUGUGAGGGGACUGCUAGGAUUGUCGCUGACCCUUAAGUCGUGGACGCCCGAGUGUGUCCUUUUACAUAAUAAUCCCUCCCACCCUUUUUGCAUCACUGCGUGGCUACCCUUCGGGAUGAUUAAGCAGGUCAGCUUACGUUUUUCCACAAACAACCCCUUUACUCGCGUAGAGAUACAACAUUUAUGCAAUCAAUACAACUUUCAACAACGGAUCUCUUAGCUAUUGCCUUGAUGAAA